CGAGUACGACCCGUUACGACGGGGAAGUGUCUGAUGUCAGGCCUCCAAGAAAAGCCCGAACCACGUUAAUUCAAAUUGGCCCGUACCCUAAACCGACACAGGUGGGAAGGUAGAGUAUACCCAGGGGCGCGAGAUAACUCUCUCUAAGGAACUCGGCAAAAUGGCCCCGUAACUUCGGGAGAAGGGGUGCCACCGAGAGGUGGUCGCAGUGAAGAGUCCCAGGCGACUGUUUACCAAAAACACAGGUCUCCGCUAAGUCGCAAGACGAUGUAUGGGGGCUGACGCCUGCCCAGUGCCGGAAGGUUAAGGAAGUUGGUCAGGGAGCAAUCCUGAAGCUAGCGACUGAAGCCCCGGUGAACGGCGGCCGUAACUAUAACGGUCCUAAGGUAGCGAAAUUCCUUGUCGGGUAAGUUCCGACCCGCACGAAAGGCGUAACGAUCUGGGAGCUGUCUCGGAGAGAGGCUCGGCGAAAUAGGAAUGUCUGUGAAGAUACGGACUACCUGCACCCGGACAGAAAGACCCUAUGAAGCUUUACUGUAGCUUGGUAUUGGGUUCGGGCUUUGAUUGCGCAGGAUAGGUGGGAGACUAUGAGAUAGCUCUUGUGGGAGUUAUGGAGUCACUGGUGAGAUACCACUCUAUCAAGGCUAGAAUUCUAACUUUGACCCGUUAUCCGGGCAGAGAACAGUAUCAGGUGGGCAGUUUGACUGGGGCGGUCGCCUCCUAAAUGGUAACGGAGGCGCGCAAAGGUUCCCUCAGGCUGGUUGGAAAUCAGCCAUUGAGUGUAAAGGCAUAAGGGAGCUUGACUGCGAGACUGACAAGUCGAGCAGGUACGAAAGUAGGCCUUAGUGAUCCGACGGUUCCGCGUGGAAGGGCCGUCGCUCAACGGAUAAAAGUUACUCUAAGGAUAACAGGCUGAUCUCCCCCAAGAGUUCACAUCGACGGGGAGGUUUGGCACCUCGAUGUCGGCUCAUCGCAACCUGGGGCUGUAGUCGGUCCCAAGGGUUGGGCUGUUCGCCCAUUAAAGCGGUACGUGAGCUGGGUUCAGAACGUCGUGAGACAGUUCGGUCCAUAUCCGGUGCAGGCGUAGGAACAUUGAGGGGAGUCUUCCUUAGUACGAGAGGACCGGGAAGAACGCACCGCUGGUGUACCUGUUAUCGUGCCAACGGUAAACGCAGGGUAGCCAAGUGCGGAGAGGAUAACCGCUGAAAGCAUCUAAGUGGGAAGCCCACCUCAAGAUGAGUGUUCCCAUGGCAAAAGCCAGUAAGGUCACGGGUAGACCACCCGUUAAUAGGCGCUAGAUGGAAGUCCAGCAAUGGAUGUAGUCGAGGCGUACUAACAGACCGAGGGCUUG
rnacentral:rRNA from 1 species